UCUUAGUUUUGAAAACAGAGUUGGAGUUCUAAUAUUUUGAUUAAAAAUGGUUAUAUAAUUCAUGUUUUGCGAUGAUAUAUCUUGUGUAGGUUAAUAUUUGCAAACUUUAUUGUGUAAUAUAAAAGUAAAUAAUAAGGCGUGAGCACGCCACACCUGAUAGUAACGUACGGGAAGAAGGGUUGACAAUAGUGCCGAGGACCAGGGCCGAAAUUUUUCUCUGCAAACGCUAGUUUCGUCACCUAUCGUACUAAGAUGAUCACAGCCAAGCUUUCCUCAUCAUCACAAUCAAUUCCUAUAAAGCGCACAUUUUGCGGAAAAACAAUUAUUAGACAGGCACAUGCCUUAUUGGACAAUAUUCUUUGGAGUUGCAGUAAUUCUCUACUGGCUCUCUUUUAAUAUAUGGAAGAGGAAUUUGGUCAUCUAAAUUUGAACUAGCUGAAACUGGUACUUCUACUACUUCUAGAAUGGAAUUUUAAAUCAAUAUUAUGAUGGUCUAUGGAUGGAUUACUAGCCACUGGCACACCAUCUGGGAUGAAAGGAUCCAUGUUUGCUAUCUCAGAAGUUUUUGUGCAACUGUCAACAAGAAUUUGAAUUUGCCCGAGUAUUGGUUGUAUUUUCUAUGCCUCUGUGGUUUUACCAUAUUUAUGAAGCUAAUGAAUCCAUGGUACAUUUUGAGGAGAAACGUUUAUAAGAGAGGCACAUGCCUUAUUGGAGGAUUUUCUUUUGUAUCAUAAUCAUUUACUGGCUCUUUUUUAAUAUGCGGAAGAGGAAUUUGGUCAUCUAAAUUGAAACUAUUUUCAUUAUUUGUAGAAUACAAGCUAUGAUCAACAUUUUCGCAACUAAAGAUCAGGUAUUUAUUGACUAAAAACUUCCUGUAAAUUGAUAUUCCCUGAACAAUUUGUCUAAAAAUCUCUCAUUCUAUACCUAUGAAAAGCCACUGGCACACCAUCUGGGAUGAAAGGAUCCAUGUUUCGUGUCUCGGAAGUUUUUGUGCAACUGUCGUCAAGAAUUUGGAAUCAUCAGGAAUCUUCCUUCUGGCGCUACUACAUAAGGCACUUCUACUAAGGUGUUUCAUUGAAGCUCAGUUAUUGCACCUGCCUCUGCGCUGCAGUUAAAGAAUUAAAACUUUUAUUUGGUUCAAUUUUAUUUGUACUUUUAAAAGAAGCGAAAGCUCUGUCAUUAUUCUAAUUAAGAAAUUAUUCUAUUUAGAAAUUUCAAAAUCUUGAAAUACUACAAAUAUUGUAAACAAAGUUUUAAUAAAUUUUGUUUUUAAUUGACUGUGAAAAUAUUAUUUAUUCUUGAAAUUUAUCAUUUCAGGUUACUGCUUGGAUGUAUAUGUUGUAUAAGCCAUUUCAAAAAAUUCAGUCAAAAUUUUGAUACAUUUUGCGGAAAAACAUUUAUUAGACAGGCACAUGCCUUAUUGGACGAUAUUCUUUGGAAUUGCAGAAAUUCUCUACUGGCUCUCUUUUAAUAUAUGGAAGAGGAAUUUGGUCAUCUAAAUUUGAACUAGCUGAAACUGGUACUUCUACUACGUCUAGAAUGGAAUUUUAAAUCAAUAUUAUGAUGGUCUAUGGAUGGAUUACUAGCCACUGGCACACCAUCUGGGAUGAAAGGAUCCAUGUUUCGUUUCUCGGAAGUUUUUGUGCAACUGUUCACAAGAAUUUGGAUUUGCCCGCAUAUUGGUUGUAUUUUCUGUGCCUCUCUGAUUUUUCCAUAUUUAUGAAGUUAAUGAACCCAUAGUACAUUUUGAGGAGAAACGUUUAUAAGAGAGGCACAUGCCUUAUUGGAGGAUUUUCUUUUGUAUCAUAAUCAUUUACUGGCUCUUUUUUAAUAUGCGGAAGAGGAAUUUGGUCAUCUAAAUUGAAACUAUUUUCAUUAUUUGUAGAAUACAAGCUAUGAUCAACAUUUUCGCAACUAAAGAUCAGGUAUUUAUUGACUAAAAACUUCCUGUAAAUUGAUAUUCCCUGAACAAUUUGUCUAAAAAUCUCUCAUUCUAUACCUAUGAAAAGCCACUGGCACAGCAUCUGGGAUGAAAGGAUCCAUGUUUCGUGUCUCGGAAGUUUUUGUGCAACUGUCGUCAAGAAUUUGGAAUCAUCAGGAAUCUUCCUUCUGGCACUACUACAUAAGGCACUUCUACUAAGGCGUUUCAGGGAAGCUCAAUUAUUGCACCUGCCUCUGCCCUGCAGUUAAAGAAUUGAAACUUUAAUUUUGUUCAAUUUUAUUUGUACUUUUAAAAGAAGCAAAACUCUGUCAUUAUUCUAAUUAAGAAAUUAUUCUAUUUAGAAAUUUCAAAAUCUUGAAAUACUACAAAUAUUGUAAACAAAGUUUUAAUAAAUUUUGUUUUUAAUUGAC